rnacentral:rRNA from 1 species
AUUUAACGAUGUCACUAGCUGUUGGGGCCUUCGGGCCUUAGUAGCGCAGCUAACGCGUGAAGUUGACCGCCUGGGGAGUACGGUCGCAAGAUUAAAACUCAAAGGAAUUGACGGGGACCCGCACAAGCGGUGGAUGAUGUGGAUUAAUUCGAUGCAACGCGAAAAACCUUACCUACCCUUGACAUGUCUGGAAUUCCGAAGAGAUUCGGAAGUGCUCGCAAGAGAACCGGAACACAGGUGCUGCAUGGCUGUCGUCAGCUCGUGUCGUGAGAUGUUGGGUUAAGUCCCGCAACGAGCGCAACCCUUGUCAUUAGUUGCUACGAAAGGGCACUCUAAUGAGACUGCCGGUGACAAACCGGAGGAAGGUGGGGAUGACGUCAAGUCCUCAUGGCCCUUAUGGGUAGGGCUUCACACGUCAUACAAUGGUCGGGACAGAGGGUCGCCAACCCGCGAGGGGGAGCCAAUCCCAGAAACCCGAUCGUAGUCCGGAUCGCAGUCUGCAACUCGACUGCGUGAAGUCGGAAUCGCUAGUAAUCGCGGAUCAGCAUGUCGCGGUGAAUACGUUCCCGGGUCUUGUACACACCGCCCGUCACACCAUGGGAGUGGGUUUUACCAGAAGUAGUUAGCCUAACCGCAAGGGGGGCGAUUACCACGGUAGGAUUCAUGACUGGGGUGAAGUCGUACAAA